GCUUGAACUGAGCACUGGGUAGAGCAUGAGACUCUGAAUCUCAGUGUUGUGGGUUUGAGCCCCACAUUGGGCA